AUUGAACGCUGGCGGCAGGCCUAACACAUGCAAGUCGAGCGGAUGACGGGAGCUUGCUCCUUGAUUCAGCGGCGGACGGGUGAGUAAUGCCUAGGAAUCUGCCUGGUAGUGGGGGGCAACGUUUCGAAAGGAACGCUAAUACCGCAUACGUCCUACGGGAGAAAGCAGGGGACCUUCGGGCCUUGCGCUAUCAGAUGAGCCUAGGUCGGAUUAGCUUGUUGGUGAGGUGAUGGCUCACCAAGGCGACGAUCCGUAACUGGGCUGAGAGGAUGAUCAGUCACGCUGGAGCUGGGACACGGUCCAGCCUACUACGGCAGGCAGCAGUGUGGAAUAUUGGACCAUGGGGGAAAGCCUGAUCCAGCCAUGCCGCGUGUGUGAAGAAGGUUUUCGGAUUGUAAAGCACUUUAAGUUGGGAGGAAGGGUUGUAGAUUAAUACUCUGCAAUUUUGACGUUACCGACAGAAUAAGCACCGGCUAACACUGUGCCAGCAGCCGCCGCCG
rnacentral:rRNA from 1 species